GCCCUGGUAGCUCAAUUGGUUAGAGCGUCGGACUUUUAUGGGAUAGCCUCCUAGAGAGUUAUCCGAAGGCUGCGGGUUCGACCCCCGCCUGGGGCG